AAGACCGUACUUUCAGGGAUCAUUUCUGCAGUUUCUUAUAGAGAAGAGUCUCUGACUGUGUAGGGUAUCCUAGACCACAAGACCAAGGAGGAGUGUUCCCUUUAAAGUGUGCACCUGGCUUUUCCGGAGUGCUGCUUUUCCGAAGCUGCCACUAUCUGUUGAUGAUCCUUCUUCUCUUCCUUUGUUGGGGGGGCGAAUGCAGUUUGAGUGGA